CCAGCCGCGGCUCUGCGCCAGCCAUCGGGAUUUACACGCUGCUCCGGCUGCACCUCAAACUCUUGGGCUUCCUGCGCUGCACCGUCCUCCGCGGCCGCACCGUUUGGCGAAGAGAUCUGUUGUUAUAAAGCCUGGACCUCCGGAGGAGAUGGAAGUUUUCUCCCUCAUCCUGGUCGUGUCCGUCUGUUGGACUCGAACCUGGAAAGCGGCGAUUGCAGAUUCAAUCAUUCAUAUCGAGUGCACUUCAGCUGGAGAGACCUCUUCCUGCUUUGGUCAGGGACUCACCAUAAAAGCUCCAGGAAGGGAUAUUGCAAGAGCUGCAUUAAAUUAAAGAAAAGAAAAGAAAAGAGAAAAGAAAAGAGAAAAGAAAAGANNNNNNNNNNNNNNNNNNNNNNNNNNNNNNNNNNNAAAAGAAAAGAAAAGAAAAGAAAAGAAAAGAAAAGAGAAAAAGCCCUCAUAAAAAGUGACAUUUACUUAAUGAGAAAGGAUAAGAGAGUAACUGCAGCAUUUUUGGGUAGCAUUAAAGUUAUGGUGGAAGAGGUGGUACAGAGACAAUUACUCUCGUUUUAGUCAACUGUAAACUGAUGGAUUUGUAAGAGCAGAGUUAGAUUUAAAGUAGAUUUCCAUUAUACACAUUAGUUGUGGAAUGAUGGGGGAGUAGGCUAGAAAAGAAAAGAUGAAAGGGAAAAAGUUUCUUGAAAGUUGUGCUGGGUUAUCUGACAAGCUCUAUACUCAGAAGGAAAUUGAAAAAGAAAAUAAGUAAAAAUGCAAGGAGGGGAAGAAAAUAAGAUAUCAAAGGCAAAAGCCACUAGUUCUGUCUGUUUCUAUUUCUUUGGGAGCUGUAUAAUGUUCCUGUAAAUGCUGUGCUCAGUGGAAAAGUCCUGAACCAGAAAGGGGAAAAAUGUGAAGAUACAGAAUUUAAAUGAGGAGUUAUAUGUGUAUUUUAAUGUAUUAGAUAACACUCUGUGCUGAAAUGCUAAUUAUUCCUAAUUGUUAUAUUUGCUUUAUCCAUGAAUAAAAUAUCACAUAUCUAAUAAAAUAUGCA
rnacentral:lncRNA from 1 species